CCCCCUACGUCCUGGGCGACACACGUACUACAAUGGGUAAGACAAAGGGUAGCCAAGUCGCGAGGCCGAGCCAAUCCCAUAAACUUAUCCUCAGUUCAGAUUGCAGGCUGCAACUCGCCUGCAUGAAGGAGGAAUCGCUAGUAAUCGCAGGUCAGCAUACUGCGGUGAAUCCGUUCCCGGGCCUU
rnacentral:rRNA from 1 species